rnacentral:pre_miRNA from 1 species
AGGCCCCGACGAAACGGCUGGUGAGAGGCCCGGAUCCGCGAGAUCUCGCGGGUUCGGGCCUCUCGCGUGCCUCUGCGGAUCUUC